rnacentral:rRNA from 1 species
GACGAACGCUGGCGGCGUGCUUAACACAUGCAAGUCGAACGGAAAGGCCCCUUUGGGGGUACUCGAGUGGCGCACGGGUGAGUAACACGUGAGUAACCUGCCCUUGACUUCGGGAUAACUUCAGGAAACUGGGGCUAAUACCGGAUAGGAAUCCUUGCUGCAUGGUGGGGGUUGGAAAGCUUCGGCGGGUUUGGAUGGACUCGCGGCUUAUCAGCUUGUUGGUGGGGUAGUGGCUUACCAAGGCUUUGACGGGUAGCCGGCCUGAGAGGGCGACCGGCCACAUUGGGACUGAGAUACGGCCCAGACUCCUACGGGAAGCAGCAGUGGGGAAUAUUGCACAAUGGGCGGAAGCCUGAUGCAGCAACGCCGCGGGCGGGAUGACGGCCUUCGGGUUGUAAACCGCUUUCAGCAGGGGCGAAGCUUGUGGUGACGGUACCUGCAGAAGAAGCACCGGCUAACUACGUG